rnacentral:lncRNA from 1 species
UUCUGCUCGAAGCGCUUGAUGAUCUUGCCCACCAGGCCGCACUGCAUGCUGUCCGGCCUGAUGGUGAUGAAGACACAGCCUCACUCUGUCCUCCAGUCUGGAGUAUAGUGGCACACUGCAUUCUUCACCUCCUGGGCUCAAGUGAUCCUCCUACCUCAGUCUCCUGAGCAGCUGGGACUACAGGCGCCCACCACCAUGCCCGACUAACUUUUUUCGUAUUUUUUUAGAGAUGGGGUUUCACCAUGUUGCCCAGGUUGGUCUGGAACUCCUGGGCUCAAGCAGUCCACCUUCCCUGACCUCCCAAAGUGUUGGGAUUACAGGCGUGAGCCACUGCACCCAGCCUUGUAUAAGUACCUUUUUUUUUUUUUUUUGAGACGGAGUUUCACUCUUGUUGCCCAGGCUAGAGUGCAAUGGCUCAAUCUCUGCUCAACACAACCUCCCCCUCCGGGUUCAAGUGAUUCUCCUGCCUCAGCCUCCCGAGUAGCUGGGAUUACAGGCGUAAGCCACCACGCCUGGCUAAUUUUUGUAUUUUUAGUAGAGAUGGGGUUUCACCAAAUUGGCCAGGCUGGUCUCGACCUGCUGACCUUGUGAUCCGCCUGCCUUGGCCUCCCAAAGUGCUGGGAUUACAGACGUGAGCCACCGCGCCGGCCUGUAUAAGUAUCUUAUAAUCAUAUUGUAUCCCACUUUUUCCCACAAAUGAUACACACGUUACCUACAUCGUUCAGUGUUAUGUUUUCAGAUCUUGGAAGCUGUUUCGUUUCAGUACAUUUGAGCUUCCUGGGAUCUUUUCUGUGGCUACAUAAUUUUCCGUUGUAGAACUGUAUGUGAUUUAAUUAAACAGCCCCCUAUUGAUGGACAUUUGAGUUGUUUCCAGUCUCUUGCUCUUAAAAACAGCACUGCGGCUGGGCAUGGUGGCUCACGCCUGUAAUCUCAACAUUUUGGGAGUCCG